ACUGUUUAGGUUAUUGGCUAAUGUUAAAAGAUUUUGUCCUGAAAGGUCUAUACAUAACAGGAAAGCAAAAUAAUCGUCGAUAAAUCGCUUGAGAGUGACAAAUCCAUUAGACUUAAGUAAAAUUUGAUUGUCGAUUUCGUUCAUAUAUAUAGUCGCUAAAAUGGGGGCCAAAUUGUUCCCCAUAGCCAAACCUGAUUGCUGUUUGUAGCCUUUGCCGUCAAUUAAAACCCGGUCGCUAGUCAAACAGAGACGAACCAGUUCUUCGAAGUCUUUGUCGCUAAGGGCAUGCAACCGGCAAUCAGCUUUGUGUUGGUGGAAGAAACGCCGUGCAACUGUGAAAAUGCUAGGAGUGUGAUCGUCUAUAUCAGCCAAAGGUAUAGACCCGUAUAAGUUACAUACGUCUAAGCUGC
rnacentral:lncRNA from 1 species